AUGAAAUCCAGGGGGUUUAUUAGUAAUUUAAGAAAUUAAGUGCAUAUACACAGAGUUAGGAUCACACUACAGAUUUAUAUCUAAUGAAAGAGACACAUAGAAAUAUUAAGUACCCUUUCAUGAUUGCUGUACUGAAAUCAGGGAUUGAUAGUAAUAUAGAAAUGUAAUAAAGACUAGGUAAGAAAAACACAGAGAUAUUAUCAUGAUCAAUAGUGGGAGACAAAGUUUCUCUAUAUAUGAAAAUUUUAAGAAUGAACACACUCAUAGUUUUGAUUAAAAUUAGUACUUGAUUUUUUCAAACCAAGAUGAGCAGGCAAAGAAAUAACAAGCCAUCUAAACCAGGAAAUGUGGAGUAAUGAUCCCUAUUCACAUAUGAUAAGAAUAUUCACAUUAAAAAAAAUAUGGAAUUCACAUCGUGGCUCAGUGGGUAACAAAUCUGACUAGGAAUCAUGAGACUGUGGGUUUGAUCCCUGGCCUCAAUCAAUGGGUUAGGGAUCUGGCCUUGCUGUGAGCUGUGGUGUAGGUUGCAGAUGCAGCUUGGAUCCUGCAUUGCUGUGGCUGUGGUGUAGGCGGGAAGCUACAGCUCUGAUUAGACCCCUAUCCUGGGAACCUCCAAUAUGCCACAGGAGCAGCCAUAGAAAAGGCAAAAAAAAAAAAAAAAGAAAAAAAAAGUAAACAGAUUAUAAGAAAACAAGUUGGACUUCCCAUCGUGGCGCAGGAGUUAAUGAAUCCAGCUAGGAACCAUGAGGUUGCGGUUUCAAUGCCUGGCCUUGCUCAGUGGGUUGAGGAUCCGGUGAUGCUGAAAGCUGUGGUGUAGGUCACAGAUGAAGCUCGUACCCCGCGUUGCUGUGGUUCUGGUGUAGGCUGGCAGCUACAACUCCAAUUCGACCCCUAGCCUGGGAAUCUCCAUAUGCCAUGGGAGCAGCCCAAGAAAUGCCAAAAAAAAGAAAACUAGUAGAAAAUGAAGAAUAAAAGAAAAAUCUUAUAAAAUAGUGUUUACUUAAUAAAUGUAGUGUAAUAUUUUUAUGAUGAAAAUCAUAAAAUAUUGCUGAAAAACACUACAGAAGACAUUUUUAAAAUGAACACCAUAUAUUCCAUUCUCCUGAAUGGGAAUACUUAACAUCGUUAACUGUCAACACUACCCAAGUUGAUCAACAGAGUCAAAGGGAACUCUUUCAAAAUCAAAACAACAAUUUUGAUGAAAAUACAAAAGCUCCUUCUAAAAUGUAUCUGCAAUAUCAAAAAACACUAAAAAUCCCAAACACCUGGGUAAGGAAAGUGGAGCAUUGGAGGCAUGACACUUCCUGAUUUUAACAUCUACUGCAAAGGUACUGUGAUCAGAUUUAUCAAUAGAGUAUGACAUGCAGAUGGAAAGAGAAGAAUACAACAGCAUGGAGAGCAGCCACAAGAGCUCUUAUAUUUAUGGGGAAAUAAUCUUCCACAAAGGGACAUAUACCACACAAUGGGAAAUGCAUUGUCUCAAAACAAAUGGUGUUGGGAAAGAUGGAUGUUCACACGUGAAACAAGGUUGUGCCUAGCACAACCCAUAACUGUAACUCAAAUAGGACUGAAGCCGUAUAGAGAGAGAUCAUUAUAAAUAUCACAGAGGAAAACAUAAAAGUUAAUGGAAUUUGACUGGGCAAUAAUUUCUUGGAUAUGAAAGUGAAAGCUCAGUCAACUAAAGCAGUAGAUUCAUCUUAAAGGGAAGUUCAGAGCAAUAGAGGCCUUGCUCAAAAAACAGUGCAACUAUGAAAUAAGCAAGCUAAUCUACCACCUCCAUGAAUUAUUAAAACAAACAAAACCAAAAGUCAAUGGAGCACAUAAUAAAGAUCAGAGAGGAAAUAACUAAAACAGAAGUACAAAAUAGGAGUUCCCAUGGUGGAUCAGUGGGUUAAGAACCUGAUAGAGUGUCCACGAGGAUGUGGAUUUCAUGACUGGCCUUGGUCAAAGGGAUAAGGUUCUGGCAAUACCAGAAACCAUUGUUUAGGAGGCAUAUGCAGUUUGGAUCAGGUGUGGGUGUGGCUGUGGUACUGGCUGGCAGCUGCAGCAACAAUUUGACCCCUAUCCCAGGAACAGCCCCAUGCUACAAGUGGAGCUGUAAAUUUUUUAUUAAAUAAAAUACAAUCUAAAAAGAUUAAUAAAACCAGGUUACAAUCUGUUGGUAAACAAAAUAGACAAACUUUUGGCCAUGCUCACCAAGACAGAAUUCACACAAAAUAAGAGUGAAAGGGAGAAACAGCAACUGAUAAUCAUGUACAUUUAAUAACCAUAAGAAAACCAUGAACAAUUAUAUGCUGAUAAAUUCAACAAGCUACAAGAAAUGGACAACUUUCUAGUGGCACAGAGACCACCAAAAUGGAGUCAAAAAGAAAUGGAUAGUCUGAACAGACCAUCACUAGACAUGAAAAACUAUCUGGAAAAAACAAAACAAUCAAAAACAAAACCCCCCUGACAAACAAAAGUCCAGAACCAGAUGCCUUCACAGGAGAAUUCUACCAAAUAUGUAGAGAAGAAUUUGCAUUACUUUUUCUCAUACGCUGCCAAAAAACUGAUGAGGAGGGAACACCUCCCAAGACAGUCGAUAAACUCACCAUCACCUUGAUACUAAAACCAGACUAGGAUACCACAGAAAAACAAAAUUACAGUGCUCUAAUUUUAAUCUCUUCCAUGUAGGUAUCCAGUUGUCAUAGCACCACUUAUUGAAUAGACAAUCUUUAUUCCACUUUCUGUUCUAGCCUCCUUUGUCAUAGAUUAGUUGACCAUAGGUGUUUGGGUUUAUUUCUAGGCUCUCUAUCCCAUUCCAUUGAUCUCUCUCUCUGGUUUGGUGCCAAUACAAUACAGCUUUGAUAACUGUAGCCUUGUAGUAUACUCAGAAGUCUGGGCACUUGAUUCAUCCAUUUGUCUUUUUCUUUUUCAACAGUGCUUCUGGCAAUUUGAGGUCAUUUGCAUUUUCACACAUGUUUUUAAAUAUUUUGUUCUAAUUCUCUGAAGAAUGUUUCUGGUAAUUUCAUAAGGAUUGCACUGAAUCUGCAGAUUGCCUUGGGUAGUAUCAUCAUUUUGAUCCUAUUGAUGCUUCCAAUCCAAGAGUAUGGUGUCAUCUUCCCAUCUGUUUGUGUCAUCUCGGAGUUCUUUCAUUAGUAUCUUAGUUUUCAGAGUAUAGGUCUUUUGUCUCUUUAGUUAAGCUUCUUCCUAGGUAUUUUAUGCUUUUUGGUGCAAUGGUACAUGGGAUGGUUUCCCUACUUUCUCCUCACAUUUCAUUGUUAGUACAUAAAAAUGCAGUCAAUUUCUAUGACUGAAAACCCAAUGAAGCACUAAGGAAAAUCAACAGAUUAAGUAAAUGAUAAGACAAAUGAUAAUGAAGAUAAAACAAUCCAAAACCUAUUGGGGCACGGCAAAAGCAGCACUUAAAGGGAAGUUUACAGCAAUACAUUAUUAUCUCAGGAAU
rnacentral:lncRNA from 1 species